rnacentral:rRNA from 1 species
UCAUUCUACGGGGCGCAGCAGUAGGGAAUCUUCCACAAUGGGCGAAAGCCUGAUGGAGCAACGCCGCGUGGGUGAAGAAGGUCUUCGGAUCGUAAAACCCUGUUGUUAGAGAAGAAAGUGCGUGAGAGUAACUGUUCACGUUUCGACGGUAUCUAACCAGAAAGCCACGGCUAACUACGUGCCAGCAGCCGCGGUAAUACGUAGUUGGCAAGCGUUAUCCGGAUUUAUUGGGCGUAAAGGGAACGCAGGCGGUCUUUUAAGUCUGAUGUGAAAGCCUUCGGCUUAACCGGAGUAGGGCAUUUGAG